AGAGUUUGAUCAUGGCUCAGGAUGAACGCUAGCGGGAGGCCUAACACAUGCAAGCCGAGCGGUAUUGUUCUUCGGAAAUGAGAGAGCGGCGUACGGGUGCGGAACACGUGUGUAACCUGCCUUUAUCUGGGGGAUAGCCUUUCGAAAGGAAGAUUAAUACUCCAUAAUAUAUUGAACGGCAUCGUUUAAUAUUGAAAGCUCCGGCGGAUAGAGAUGGGCACGCGCAAGAUUAGCUAGUUGGUGAGGUAACGGCUCACCAAGGCGAUGAUCUUUAGGGGCCUGAGAGGGUGAUCCCCCACACUGGUACUGAGACACGGACCAGACUCCUACGGGAGGCAGCAGUGAGGAAUAUUGGUCAAUGGGUGCAAGCCUGAACCAGCCAUCCCGCGUGAAGGACGACUGCCCUAUGGGUUGUAAACUUCUUUUGUAUAGGGAUAAACCUACCCUCGUGAGGGUAGCUGAAGGUACUAUACGAAUAAGCACCGGCUAACUCCGUG
rnacentral:rRNA from 1 species